GACGUAGGGCGCGAGCGUUGUCCGGAUUUAUUGGGCGUAAAGAGCUCGUGGGCGGCUUGUCGCGUCGUCCGUGAAAACUUGGGGCUCAACCCCAAGCUUGCGGUCGAUACGGGCAGGCUAGAGUUCGGUAGGGGAGACUGGAAUUCCUGGAUGUAGCGGUGAAAUGCGCAGAUAUCAGGAGGAACACCGGUGGCGAAGGCGGCAUCCUGGACCAACACUGACACUGAGGAGCGAAAGCCAGGGGAGCAAACGGG
rnacentral:rRNA from 1 species